rnacentral:rRNA from 1 species
GAUGAACGCUGGCGGCGUGCUUAACACAUGCAAGUCGAACGGAAAGGCCCAAGCUUGCUUGGGUACUCGAGUGGCGAACGGGUGAGUAACACGUGGGUGAUCUGCCCUGCACUUCGGGAUAAGCCUGGGAAACUGGGUCUAAUACCGGAUAGGACCACAUUUUGGAUGGUGUGGUGGAAAGUUUUUCGGUGUGGGAUGAGCUCGCGGCCUAUCAGCUUGUUGGUGGGGUAAUGGCCUACCAAGGCGUCGACGGGUAGCCGGCCUGAGAGGGUGUACGGCCGCAUUGGGGCUGAGGGACGGCCCAAGCUGCUACGGGAGGCAGCAGGGGGGAAGAUUGCACAAGGGGCGCAAGCCGGAUGCAGCGAGGCCGCGUGGGGGAUGACGGCCUUCGGGUUGUAAACUCCUUUCGCUAGGGACGAAGCGUUAUGUGACGGUACCUGGAGAAGAAGCACCGGCUAACUACGUG